rfam:Homo sapiens chromosome 19, GRCh38 reference primary assembly.
GCCGGGCGUGGUGGCGCAUGCCUGUAAUCCCAGCUACUUAGGAGGCUGAGGCAGGAGAAUCGCUUGAACCCAGGAGGCGGAGGUUGCAGUGAGCCGCCGAGAUCACGCCACUACACUCCAGCCUGGGCGACAGAGCGAGACUCUGUCUCAA